rnacentral:rRNA from 1 species
UUCGCCCUUUUCCGGUUGAUCCCGCCGGACCCGACUGCUAUCAGAGUGGGACUAAGCCAUGCGAGUCAACGUAGCAAUGCGUGGCGAACGGCUCAGUAACACGUAGUCAACAUGCCCAGGGGACGUGGAUAACCUCGGGAAACUGAGAUUAAACCGCGAUAGGUCAAGAUUUCUGGAAUGGAUCCUGGCUUAAAUCUACAUGGCCCCUGGAUUGGACUGCGGCCGAUCAGGCUGUUGGUGAGGUAAUGGCCCACCAAACCUAUAACCGGUACGGGCUCUGAGAGGAGAAGCCCGGAGAUGGGCACUGAGACAAGGGCCCAGGCCCUAUGGGGCGCAGCAGGCGCGAAAACUCUGCAAUGGGCGAAAGCCUGACAGGGUUACUCUGAGUGAUUUCCGCUAAGGAGAUCUUUUGGCAGCUCUAAAAAUGGUGCAGAAUAAGGGGUGGGCAAGUCUGGUGUCAGCCGCCGCGGUAAUACCAGCACCCCGAGUGGUCGGGACGAUUAUUGGGCCUAAAGCAUCCGUAGCCGGUUGUGCAAGUCCUCCGUUAAAUCCAGCCGCUCAA